rnacentral:lncRNA from 1 species
GUGGGGUAUUAAAGGACUUAUAUAAAUGACAAUAAAAUUUAUUUUUCGCAACUAUAUCAUGCCCUAUUUGGUAAAAAAAAAAAGAAAAACUAUGAAAAUGUGAGAAUUUGUUUGGUUUGAUGUGACUUGAUCUAUCUAGUAAGAUAGAAGUAAUAUUAUUUUUGGAGAAGAGACAUCAUAUUUAGUCAAUCCUACAUCAUAUUUAAUCUAACUAAU